UGGGGAAUAUUGCACAAUGGGCGCAAGCCUGAUGCAGCCAUGCCGCGUGUGUGAAGAAGGCCUUCGGGUUGUAAAGCACUUUCAGCGAGGAGGAAGGUGGUGAGCUUAAUACGCUCAUCAAUUGACGUUACUCGCAGAAGAAGCACCGGCUAACUCCGUGCCAGCAGCCGCGGUAAUACGGAGGGUGCAAGCGUUAAUCGGAAUUACUGGGCGUAAAGCGCACGCAGGCGGUUUGUUAAGUCAGAUGUGAAAUCCCCGGGCUCAACCUGGGAACUGCAUUUGAAAACUGGCAAGCUAGAGUCUCGUAGAGGGGGGUAGAAUUCCAGGUGUAGCGGUGAAAUGCGUAGAGAUCUGGAGGAAUACCGGUGGCGAAAGGCGGCCCCCCUGGACGAAGACUGACGCUCAGGUGCGAAAAGGCGUGGGGGCAGCAAAACAGGAUUAGAUACCCUGGUAGUCCACGCUGUAAAACGAUGUCGA
rnacentral:rRNA from 1 species